AAAUAAUUAAUUGCGAGUAAUCGCAUGGUUGUCCUUAGUAAAUUGCGAUUAAUCGCAAAUUAAUCACACAUUUUUUAUCCGUUCAAAAUUAUCUUAGAGGGAUAUUUGCGAAGUAUUUAAUACUCUUAUCAACAUGGGAGUGUGUAAAUAUGUUGCUUUAUGCAA